GGCCUUUUGGGAGCUCACUGGCUUCGGGUUCCGUUGGAACUCUAAAGUUAAGCGAGUUCGCUCGAGAGCAAUCCCAGGAUGGGUGACCCACUGGGAAGUUCUCGUGUGAGUUCCUAGAAACAAAACCGUGAGGGCGUGGUUGGGGCCCAAAACGGACAAUAUCGUGCUACGGUAGAGUCGAGCCUGGGAUGUUGCGGGGGCCCGGGCCAGGAUGUGACAAUUUGGUAUCAGAGCCAAUCCCUGGCCGGAAGUGUGUCGACGAGGACGUCGGGCCCCUAAGGGGGGGUGGCUUGUAACAUCCCACAUCGCCCAGGGGAGUGGAUCAUGUAAGCCAUAUAUGUAUAUUCUCAUAUCUUCCUAGCACGAGGCCUUUUGGGAGCUCACUAGCUUCGGGUUUCGUCGGAACUCUGAAGUUAAGCGAGUUCGCUCGAGAGCAAUCCCAGGAUGGGUGACCCACUAGGAAGUUCUCAUGUGAGUUCC
rnacentral:sRNA from 1 species